rnacentral:rRNA from 1 species
GAUCAUGGCUCAGGAUGAACGCUAGCGACAGGCCUAACACAUGCAAGUCGAGGGGCAGCGCGGGAGAAGCUUGCUUUCCUGGCGGCGACCGGCGCACGGGUGCGUAACAGGUGUGCAAUCUGUCCAUAGUCGGGGGAUAGCCCAGCGAAAGCUGAAUUAACACUCCAUGUGAAUCGAAGCCGCAUGACUUUGAUUUGAAACGCAAGGACUAUGGGUGAGCACGCUUCUGAUUAGGUAGUUGGUGGGGUAACGGCCCACCAAGCCGACGAUCAGUAGGGUUCUGAGAGGAAGGUCCCCCACAUUGGAACUGAGACACGGUCCAAACUCCUACGGGAGGCAGCAGUGAGGAAUAUUGGUCAAUGGGCGAGAGCCUGAACCAGCCAAGUCGCGUGAAGGAUGAAGGUUCUAUGGAUUGUAAACUUCUUUUGUCCGAGGGUAAAAAAGGCCACGUGUGGCUUCUUGCAAGUAUCGGACGAAUAAGCAUCGGCUAACUCCGUGCCAGCCGCGGC